rnacentral:rRNA from 1 species
CCUACGGGAGGCAGCAGUGGGGAAUUUUGGACAAUGGGGGCAACCCUGAUCCAGCAAUGCCGCGUGUGUGAAGAAGGCCUUCGGGUUGUAAAGCACUUUUGUCCGGAAAGAAAUGGCGCUGGUUAAUGCCCGGCGUUGAUGACGGUACCGGAAGAAUAAGCACCGGCUAACUACGUGCCAGCAGCCGCGGUAAUACGUAGGGUGCGAGCGUUAAUCGGAAUUACUGGGCGUAAAGCGUGCGCAGGCGGUUUGGUAAGACAGGCGUGAAAUCCCCGAGCUCAACUUGGGAAUGGCGCUUGUGACUGCCAGGCUAGAGUAUGUCAGAGGGGGGUAGAAUUCCACGUGUAGCAGUGAAAUGCGUAGAGAUGUGGAGGAAUACCGAUGGCGAAGGCAGCCCCCUGGGACGUCACUGACGCUCAUGCACGAAAGCGUGGGGAGCAAACAGGAUUAGAUACCCUGGUAGUCCACGCCCUAAACGAUGUCAACUAGUUGUUGGGGAUUCAUUUCUCAGUAACGUAGCUAACGCGUGAAGUUGACCGCCUGGGGAUCGGUCGCAAGAUUAAACUUAAAGGAAUUGACGG